rnacentral:rRNA from 1 species
UACAGAGGGUGCGAGCGUUGUUCGGAGUUACUGGGCGUAAAGGGUGUGUAGGCGGUUGUUUAAGUUUGGGGUGAAAUCUCCCGGCUCAACUGGGAGGGUGCGCCGAAUACUGAAUGACUAGAGUGCGGGAGAGGUGAGUGGAAUUCCUGGUGUAGCGGUGAAAUGCGUAGAUAUCAGGAGGAACACCGGUGGUGUAGACGGCUCACUGGACCGUAACUGACGCUGAGACACGAAAGCGUGGGUAGCAAACAGG